UGGGCUGAGUGCAGAACCUUGAGGUGAU
rnacentral:piRNA from 1 species